UGGGAUUAACCAAUAGGGCGUUAACC
rnacentral:piRNA from 1 species